AAAAAAAAAAAAUGGGGUAAACUCUGAAUCUUUGGACUGCUACUGAGAAGAGGAUCCCCACUGACUCAGUCUCUCCGAUUGCUUUCGUGGUGGACUCGAUUCGUGAUUCCUGGAAUUUUAUCUCCGAGGCACUGUCACUUAAUGGCGUCAUCUGAAACUAAAAGCUACGCAAGGAGAGAUCGUCUUCUUGAAAUUGAGGUAGCAGUUCGAAAAUGGUGGGAAGAUGAGGAAGUAUUCAAACUCUGAAUCUCGUGAGAAUCUUCCUAAGCCAGAAGAAAAGUUCUUCUCCACUUUUUCUUUCCCUUGUAUGAAUGGUUAUCUACACACUGGCCAUGCCUUCUCACUCUCUAAGGUUGAUUUUGCUUCUGCUUACCAUAGACUAAGAGAUGCCAAUGUGCUUCUUCCUUUUGGUUUCCACUGUACUGGUAUGCCAAUUAAGGCUUCUGCGGAUAAGCUUUCUCUUGAGAUUCAACAGUUUGGUAACCCUCCUGUGUUCUCUGCUCAAGAUGAUACCAUCAAGCAAGCUCCUGAAACUCAGGAGGAGAGUUGUGAUAUGCUGAUAAAGUGUUUGAAAAUGACAUGAACAUUGCUAUCAGAUUGACUGAAAAACCGUACAAAGAUUGUUUGUUUAGGGAGGCACUUAAGAAUGGGUUUUACGACUUACAAGCUGCACGAGAUGAGUAUGGACUCUCUUGUGGCAGUGGCGGUAUGAACCAUGAUUUGAUACUGCACUUCAUGGAUGUGCAAACACACCUCAUUGAACCAAUCCGUCCCCAGUUUGCAGAAUAUGUAUGGAGGAAACUUUUUAAGAAGGAAGGUUGUGUGGUAACAGCAGGCUGGCCUACAUCAGAUGAGCCAGAUUUGGUUCUCAAGAGUGCUAACAAAUAUUUGCAAGAUUCUAUAGUCUUAAUGAGAAAGCUUCUACAAAAACAGCUCUUAGGUUCCAAGAAGGCUGCUAAGAAAGCUGCUCAAGUUACAGCAGUGCCAGAGGGGAUGUUAAAAGGCCUCAUAUAUUUGAAUGAGCAGCUCGAUGGAUGGAGAGCUCACUGCCUCAAGAUUCUGCCAAAGCAAAUUUGUCCAACAAACCUGUCGUUUUGCCCCUGAUGCAGAGAUACUUGCAGAACGAAGGGAGAUAUUGCAGAAGGAGGGACAAUCAGAAAACUUUAAACAAAUUCAGAAGCUUUGCAUGCCUUUCCUUAAAUUUAAGAAGGACGAGGCAAUAUCUAUUGGCCCUCAGGCUCUAAAGUUGAGGUUGCCUUUUGGAGAGAUUGAAGUCCUUCAGAGUAACAUGGACUUGAUCAAGCAGCAAGAGGUUGAAAUAUAUUCUGCAAGUGAAGUGACCCUGAUGAUGUUUCAAAAGCUGGUCCACAUGCUUCACUGCUGACGCAGAAUCCUCCAUCUCCGCGCAAUCCAACUGCCAUCUUUGUGACCAGCACAAAUGUCUCCCCUCCAGUCUAAAAGUUCUACGGAAUCAUCUCUCUCUGCAUAUCUUCGUUUUGAAAUUUUUACAGUGGGAUAAUGUUUAGUUUAUAAUCUUAUUUCUCGGAAGGAGUUUCCAGCAUCCUCGUCACUUACAGCUUCCAAUUCCAAGAUAUGUGAUCGAUUUAUCAACCGCAAACUCGUGCAAAAAUUGUAUGACAGAAUGCUUACUAUCGGUCUACAAGGCACCAUUCCAUCAUUUCUCGUAUAGCCGAUUGGGAAGGCAUUAAGAAGUCACGUUCAGUUCGAGAGUUUGACAACUACGCCACCAGACUUGUUGCCAAAUUCGAUGUGCAGUUUGUUUCAUAUUCUCUUUACCCUUUGUUUAUAUAUCCCCUCUUUCAGUAGAAAAUCCAAUCUUUAAUGAUGCAGACAACUGAUACAUACUAUAGACGUUCAAGCAGUGCGCAAUAUGUGGGAAAUGUCUCUGUUCCACUCCUUUGUACCAGUGCUUUGGACGAUCCAGUUUGUAAUAGGGAAGCUAUUCCUUGGGAUGAAUGUAGGGCAAACAAAACAUAGUUCUGGCAACCACAGCGUCAACACGCCGAACAGGGCCAUUGUAUUGGAAGCACCUGAGAAACAUUCAAACGAGGGAGACAAGAAUGAAGAAUCAAUAAGACCUGUAAAAAGAAAAUUAAUGGCUUGGUGAAAUGAAACUAACCA